GUUGUAGGGCAUUAGAAAAAUUUGUGUGUUUUAAAGAAAGUAAAAUGUGAAAUUAAAUAAAAAUUAAGAAGUGAAAAACUUUAAAAUUUUUCCCUUAAUGUUUGAAAAAUAAAAUUAUUGUUUUGUGUGGAAUAGUUUAUACGAAUGCCACUUAUACUAAGGCGUCUUAGUUUAUUGUGCUGAAAUGUUGAAGGAAACAAUCUUUCACACCGAUUAAUAUGGUGCCGCCAAUACUUCAAGUGGAUUGUUAGGCAUGGAAAUUGCCAGAUUGCAGCAGCGUAAACAAAAGUAUGAAGAUCUGGACGUUUGUUUCACAAGAAGUGUCCGGGGCAACAACUUACUUACCAUAAAUGGCAAGCCCUAUACAUUAAAUCGACGCAUUAAGGAUGUUUGCUACUGGGAGUGUGUCAAACUACGUUGCAAAUACACAAAAUGCACUGCGAGAGUUAUAACAAAAUGUGAUCAGAUUGCAUCGCUCCGCGGUGAUCAUAACCAUAUAUAAAUAUGAAAUAGAAGAAAAAAUACAUAAAUUUAAAGAGUAAAGAAUUAGCUAUUUUGAGAUGUGUUAGUGUGCUGAAAAUUGUUUAUUAAGCUCUAGCGAUAAUGAACUUAGAUUUAUAGAUAACAAACAAGCAACAUUAGAAUACAAACUUAAUUAAAGGGUUUUAGAUUGCUUUAUCAAGGACACAUGUACACCACGAAGCAAAAUACCAUUCCUGGGCAUGCAGUGGAUGAUGUAGCCAUAUCGCGCUGCAUAACCGCCAGUGAAAGUAUAUAGAAUGAAUUUCCGUCAAAGGACUUAUAAUCAAUCAACAACUCGCUAAAGAAAAAAAGAAUCUUCUUACGAGUGCCAAUUUCACAACCAUAGAAAACUAUCGCUUUGUAAUCGGUUCCCAAUCAGCAAGUAAAUAUUACUUGAAAUGUGCUAAUUUUCGAAAUAAAUGUCGCGCCCGUGCAGUUAUAUGCAAAGAUACAUUUGGCUUAAUAUUGCGAAAGAAACAUAAUCACACUGCCGAACAACAAAGUUAUAGGCAAAAGUAAAAUUGUAUUAAAAUUAUGUAUGAUGCUAAUUGAUCUCCAAGAAUUUGAAGACAGCUUCGUCUGUAACAAAAUCUAUAAAAAAUAAAAAUAAUAAUUUAAGACUAUUAAAAGAAAAGC